rnacentral:lncRNA from 1 species
GGGGGACUUAGUUUAACAUAGGACCCUAUUGGAAAUGCAUACAAAUCACUUCUUCUAGUGAACCACUGAAUGGAAUGAAACCAAACAUGGCAUGAAUGUUCCUUAUGUGGUGCUGACCAAGUGUUGUUACUUUGUAGCCGAUCCAUCAUCCAAGAUGGCCGCCAGCGUGGGACUUAGUUUAACAUAGGACCCUAUGGGAAAUGCAUACAAAUGACUUCUUUUAGAGAACCACUGAAUGGAAUGAAAUCAAACAUGGCAUGAAUGUUCCUAAUGUGGUGCUGACCAAGUGUUGUUACUUUGUAGCCGAUCCAUUAUCCAAGAUGUCCGCCAGCGGGGGACUUAGUUUAACAUAGGACCCUAUGGGAAAUACAUACAAAUGACUUCUUUUAGAGAACCACUGAAUGGAAUAAAACCAAACAUGGCAUGAAUGUUCCUUAUGAGGUGCUGACCAAGUGUUGUUACUUUGUAGCCGAUACAUCAUCCAAGAUGGCCGCCAGCGGGGGACUUAGUUUAACAUAGGACGCUAUGGGAAAUGCAUACAAAUGACUUCUUUUAGAGAACCACUG